rnacentral:rRNA from 1 species
UGUAAAUGUAAAUUUUAAAACCAGGGUAGUAAUAGUUAUGUUCUUGAAACCCAAAGAAUUUGGCGGUAUUUUAGUCCUUUCAGAGGAAUCUGUCCCGUGAUCGACAGUCCACGAGAUAUUUUACUUAUUCUUGUUUUCAGUUUGUAUACCUCCGUCAUAAGAAGAUCUUUUUAGAGAUGGAAUUUUCUUAAUAUAUUAAAUAUAAUAUGUCAGGUCAAGGUGCAAUUUAUGAAUAAGUGGAGAUGGAUUACAAUAAAUUUAUUUAAAUGGAUUAGAUUAUUAGUUUUUUUAUGAAGGUGGAUUUGAUAGUAAUUUUAAUUAUUUGUUAUUAUGAUUUUGGCUCUAAAAUAUGC